rnacentral:tRNA from 1 species
GUCACUCAUAGCUCAGUUGGUUAGAGCAUGGUGCUGAUAAUGCCAAGGUUGCAGGUUCGACCUCCAUAUGGGACA